rnacentral:rRNA from 1 species
UACGGGGGAUGCGAGUGUUAUCCGGAAUCACUGGGCGUAAAGCGUCUGUAGGUUGUUUGCUAAGUCUGCUGUUAAAGCUUGAAGCUCAACUUCAAAAAUGCAGCGGAAACUAGUAGACUUGAGUGUGGUAGGGGUAGAGGGAAUUUCCAGUGAAGUGGUGAAAUGCGUAGAUAUUGGAAAGACCACCAAUGGCGAAGGCACUCUACUGGGCCAUUACUGACACUGAGAGACGAAAGCUAGGGGAGCAAAUGGG